rfam:Trichobilharzia regenti genome assembly, scaffold: TRE_scaffold0000381
AACUUUGAGCGAUGGAUCACUCGGCUCUUGCGUCGAUGAAGAGUGCAGCCAACUGUGUGAAUUAAUGUGAACCGCAUACUGCUUUAAACAUUGACAUCUUGAAAGCAUAUCGCGGUUACGGGAUAUCCUGUGGUCACGUCUGUCCGAGGGUCG